AGCAGUCGCCGCGGUAAUACGUAGGGUGCAAGCGUUAAUCGGAAUUACUGGGCGUAAAGCGUGCGCAGGCGGUUGUGUAAGACAGGUGUGAGAUCCCCGGGCUUAACCUGGGAAUUGCAUUUGUGACUGCACAGCUAGAGUAUGGCAGAGGGGGGUGGAAUUCCACGUGUAGCAGCGAAAUGCGUAGAGAUGUGGAGGAACACCGAUGGCGAAGGCAGCCCCCUGGGCCAAUACUGACGCUCAUGCACGAAAGCGUGGGGAGCAAACAGGAUUAGAUACCCGCGUAGUCCCUGUCUCUUAUAC
rnacentral:rRNA from 1 species